ACGGGUGAGUAAUGCCUAGGAAUCUGCCUGGUAGUGGGGGAUAACGUCCGGAAACGGACGCUAAUACCGCAUACGUCCUACGGGAGAAAGCAGGGGACCUUCGGGCCUUGCGCUAUCAGAUGAGCCUAGGUCGGAUUAGCUAGUUGGUGAGGUAAUGGCUCACCAAGGCGACGAUCCGUAACUGGUCUGAGAGGAUGAUCAGUCACACUGGAACUGAGACACGGUCCAGACUCCUACGGGAGGCAGCAGUGGGGAAUAUUGGACAAUGGGCGAAAGCCUGAUCCAGCCAUGCCGCGUGUGUGAAGAAGGUCUUCGGAUUGUAAAGCACUUUAAGUUGGGAGGAAGGGUACUUACCUAAUACGUGAGUAUUUUGACGUUACCGACAGAAUAAGCACCGGCUAACUCUGUGCCAGCAGCCGCGGUAAUACAGAGGGUGCAAGCGUUAAUCGGAAUUACUGGGCGUAAAGCGCGCGUAGGUGGUUCGUUAAGUUGGAUGUGAAAUCCCCGGGCUCAACCUGGGAACUGCAUCCAAAACUGGCGAGCUAGAGUAUGGUAGAGGGUGGUGGAAUUUCCUGUGUAGCGGUG
rnacentral:rRNA from 2 species